ACUUCUGCAUCAUCCAAACGGUAAGGAGUUACUCAAUAAUAUUAAAAAUACAGAUUAUCCAUUUGGUGAAGCAGACAGAAGGAGUUUGGUUCGUAUAGUCAUAAACGAACUCAAGACAUUACAUGAUACACUUUAUCCACCAGAAGAAGCUAAAAUUGCAUUAGCAAGUGCAAUAGUCACUGAAUUUCCACGCUUAACAGCUAAUAGAGAAAAUAAUAAUAAACAAAAAGGAUAUGAACAUUACUACAGUCCAUUGACCAAGCAAGGUUUUUUAGAAUAUAGAUUAUGGACUAUUCGCAAAUCAGCUACUCCAUCAAAGAAAAC